UUCCGGUUGAUCCUGCCGGACCUGACUGCUAUCGGAUUGAUACUAAGCCAUGCGAGUCAUUGUAGUAAUACAAGGCAGACGGCUCAGUAACGCGUAGUCAACCUAACCUAUGGACGGGAAUAACCUCGGGAAACUGAGUAUAAUGCCCGAUAGAACAUUAUGCCUGGAAUGGUUUAUGUUCCAAAUGAUUUAUCGCCGUAGGAUGGGACUGCGGCCUAUCAGUUUGUUGGUGAGGUAAUGGCCCACCAAGACUAUUACAGGUACGGGCUCUGAGAGGAGUGGCCCGGAGAUGGGUACUGAGACACGGACCCAGGCCCUAUGGGGCGCAGCAGGCGAGAAAACUUUGCAAUGUGCGAAAGCACGACAAGGUUAAUCCGAGUGGUUUCUGCUAAAGGAACCUUUUGUCGGUCCUAGAAACACCGAUGAAUAAGGGGUGGGCAAGUUCUGGUGUCAGCCGCCGCGGUAAAACCAGCACCUCAAGUGGUCAGGAUGAUUAUUGGGCCUAAAGCAUCCGUAGCCGGCUUUGUUAGUUUUCGGUUAAAUCUGUACGCUUAACGUACAGGCUGCCGGGAAUACUGCAGAGCUAGGGAGUGGGAGAGGUAGACGGUACUCGGUAGGAAGGGGUAAAAUCCUUUGAUCUAUUGAUGACCACCUGUGGCGAAGGCGGUCUACCAGAACACGUCCGACGGUGAGGGAUGAAAGCUGGGGGAGCAAACCGGAUUAGAUACCCGGGUAGUCCCAGCUGUAAACUAUGCAAACUCAGUGAUGCAUUGGCUUGUGGCCAAUGCAGUGCUGCAGGGAAGCCGUUAAGUUUGCCGCCUGGGAAGUACGUACGCAAGUAUGAAACUUAAAGGAAUUGGCGGGGGAGCACCACAAGGGGUGAAGCCUGCGGGUUCAAUUGGAUUCAACGCCCGGG
rnacentral:rRNA from 1 species